GAUGAACGCUAGCGGCAGGCCUAACACAUGCAAGUCGAGGGGUAUAUACUUUCGGGUGUAGAGACCGGCGCACGGGUGCGUAACACGUGUACAAUCUGCCUUUUGCUAAGGGAUAGCCCGAAGAAAUUUGGAUUAAUACCUUAUAGUAUUAUUUGAUGGCAUCAUUGAAUAAUUAAAGCUUUGGUGGCAAAAGAUGAGUACGCGUCCCAUUAGCUAGUUGGUGUGGUAACGGCAUACCAAGGCUACGAUGGGUAGGGGUCCUGAGAGGGAGGUCCCCCACACUGGUACUGAGACACGGACCACACUCCUACGGGAGGCAGCAGUGAGGAAUAUUGGACAAUGGUCGGAAGACUGAUCCAGCCAUGCCGCGUGCAGGAAGACGGCCUUAUGGGUUGUAAACUGCUUUUAUACGGGAAGAAUAAGGUCUACGUGUACAUUGAUGACGGUACUGUAUGAAUAAGCAUCGGCUAACUCCGUGCCAGCUGCCGCGGUAAUACCGAGGAUGCGAGCGUUAUCCGGAGUCAUUGGGUUUAAAGGGUCCGUAGGCGGGCUUAUAAGUCAGAGGUGAAAGCACUGAGCUCUUUUGAGUAACUGCCUUUGAAACUGUAGGUCUUGAAUGUUUGUGAAGUAGCUGGAAUGUGUAGUGUAGCGGUGAAAUGCAUAGAUAUUACACAGAACACCGAUUGCGAAGGCAUGUUACUAACAGAUGAUUGACGCUGAUGGACGAAAGCGUGGGGAGCGAACAGGAUUAGAUACCCUGGUAGUCCACGCUGUAAACGAUGGAUACUAGCUGUUUGGUUUUUGGACUGAGUGGCUAAGCGAAAGUGAUAAGUAUCCCACCUGGGGAGUACGCACGCAAGUGUGAAACUCAAAGGAAUUGACGGGGGCCCGCACAAGCGGUGGAGCAUGUGGUUUAAUUCGAUGAUACGCGAGGAACCUUACCAAGGUUUAAAUGGGAAACGACGUACCUAGAGAUAGGUAUUUCUUCGGACGUUUUUCAAGGUGCUGCAUGGUUGUCGUCAGCUCGUGCCGUGAGGUGUCAGGUUAAGUCCUAUAACGAGCGCAACCCCUGCGAAUAGUUGCCAUCAUUCAGUUGGGCACUCUAUUUGGACUGCCGGUGACAAACCGGAGGAAGGUGGGGAUGACGUCAAAUCAUCAUGCCCCUUAUGACGUGGGCUACACACGUGCUACAAUGGACGGUACAAAGGGCUGCCAACCCGCGAGGGGGAGCCAAUCCCAGAAAACAGUUUUCAGUUCGGAUUGCAGGUAGCAACUCGCCUGCAAGAAGCCGGAAUCGGUAGUAAUCGUGGAUCAGCAUGCCACGGAGAAUACGUUCCCGGGAAA
rnacentral:rRNA from 1 species